CCCUGGCUCAGGAAUGAACGCUAGCUACAGGCUUAACACAUGCAAGUCGAGGGGAAACGACAUCGAAAGCUCGCUUUUGAUGGGCGUCGACCGGCGCACGGGUGAGUAACGCGUAUCCAACCUGCCCAUCACUUGGGGAUAACCUUGCGAAAGUAAGACUAAUACCCAAUGACGUCUCUAGAAGACAUCUGAAAGAGAUUAAAGAUUUAUCGGUGAUGGAUGGGGAUGCGUCUGAUUAGCUUGUUGGCGGGGUAACGGCCCACCAAGGCUACGAUCAGUAGGGGUUCUGAGAGGAAGGUCCCCCACAUUGGAACUGAGACACGGUCCAAACUCCUACGGGAGGCAGCAGUGAGGAAUAUUGGUCAAUGGACGAGAGUCUGAACCAGCCAAGUAGCGUGCAGGAUGACGGCCCUAUGGGUUGUAAACUGCUUUUAUAAGGGAAUAAAGUGAGUCUCGUGAGACUUUUUGCAUGUACCUUAUGAAUAAGGACCGGCUAAUUCCGUGCCAGCAGCCGCGGUAAUACGGAAGGUCCGGGCGUUAUCCGGAUUUAUUGGGUUUAAAGGGAGCGUAGGCCGGAGAUUAAGCGUGUUGUGAAAUGUAGAUGCUCAACAUCUGCACUGCAGCGCGAACUGGUUUCCUUGAGUACGCACAAAGU
rnacentral:rRNA from 1 species